rnacentral:rRNA from 1 species
CCUACGGGAGGCAGCAGUGGGGAAUAUUGCACAAUGGGCGAAAGCCUGAUGCAGCGACGCCGCGUGAGGGAUGACGGCCUUCGGGUUGUAAACCUCUUUCAGCAGGGAAGAAGCGAAAGUGACGGUACCUGCAGAAGAAGCGCCGGCUAACUACGUGCCAGCAGCCGCGGUAAUACGUAGGGCGCAAGCGUUGUCCGGAAUUAUUGGGCGUAAAGAGCUCGUAGGCGGUCUGUCGCGUCGGAUGUGAAAGCCCGGGGCUUAACCCCGGGUCUGCAUUCGAUACGGGCAGACUAGAGUGUGGUAGGGGAGAUCGGAAUUCCUGGUGUAGCGGUGAAAUGCGCAGAUAUCAGGAGGAACACCGGUGGCGAAGGCGGAUCUCUGGGCCAUUACUGACGCUGAGGAGCGAAAGCGUGGGGAGCGAACAGGAUUAGAUACCCUGGUAGUCCACGCCGUAAACGGUGGGAACUAGGUGUUGGCGACAUUCCACGUCGUCGGUGCCGCAGCUACGACAUUAACGUUACCCGUCCGUCGGGAGGUACGGCCGCGACGGACGUAAACGUUAAAGGUAAAGUUAAGUACGGCGUUGAGACGUUGCCGAACGGACGACGACGAGGGAGGAGG